AUGUCGAAUAUGGGGAAGCCAUUAUUUUACUUGAAGUUUGCUGCAAAAGAACUUAAUAGGAAUGCCAAGAAAUGUGAUAAAGAAGAAAAGGCUGAAAAGGCCAAGAUUAAAAGGCUAUUCAGAAAGGCAAUAAGGAAGCUGCAAGAAUACAUGCUGAAAAUGCAAUCCACCAGAAAAAUCAAGCAAUUGAUUUCUUAAGAAUGAGUGCUAGAGUUGGUGCUGUGGCAGUCAGAGUUCAAAAUGCAGUAACAAUGGGCAGGGUAACAAGUCCAUGUGAGGCAUAGUUAAGUCUGUGGGUGCUUCAUUGAGGAGUAGAACCUUGAAAAGGUGAAAAAAAAAAGAAUUAUGUUCAGAUAGCAUCUUUUCAGUGUAAGUUUUUCUGAUAACCACAUUUAUUUUUACAGACUUCUGCCUUGAUGAACAAAUUCAAACACCAGUUUGAAACACUGGAUAUUCAAACACAACAAAUGGAAGAUAAAAUGAGUAGCUCUACAACCCUAAUAACACCACAAUUCUUAUUCUAGAACCAAAUGGAUAUGCUGCUUCAGGAAAUGGCAGAUGAAGGUAGCCUUGAUCUCAAUAUGCAACUACCACAGGGUCAGAUAGAUUCUCUUGGCACAAAUGUUGCUUCCAUGGAACAGGAUAAACUAUCACAGAGACUUGCUCUUCUCCAUGAUUGAAUGUAA
rnacentral:sRNA from 1 species